GCUGCAAGCGAAGCUGGACACCUUACUUCCUCCUUCCCCGCCCGCGGCCAGCCCGGCUUUGCGGAGGGAUAUCUCACCCCUCCUCUGUCCCUCUCCUCCCUUCGCCCGCCUCCCCCCCCUUUUUGCUCUUGCUCCCCCCGCCCCACCUCACCCCGCCUUUCUCCUUUUGCAAGAAAAUAAUUUGACAGUCGAUUUGCUGACAGGGGAAGAAUUUGCAUCCUGGAUUAAAAAAAAAAAAGGCCGAGAGGAGCUUGGGAACGGUUGCUAGGGGUGGGUAAUGGUGAAGAAGGAGGGGGUACCGAGGAUCGGCUGAGGGAGGGGGCGAGGGUGGGGAGCCAUGCAAAAGCCCCACCGGCCCCCUGUCGCACCCCCCAAGCGGAGACUGGGCUUCCUGUCUUUUUGCCAUGCACUUGUUGCAGAAGCAGCCAAGUCUUCCGAUACUCAGGCCCUAAAGAGCUCCAGACAGCCCCCGCACGAAUGAUCAGCCCCGCAAAUGCUCUGAUAAAUUCAGGAGAGAAUCAUGCGGCCUACAGUCAUCCACUGAUGGAUUGUCCCGACCAGAAGUUACACAGGGAAGAGAUGAAACAAGCUCACCCUGCUUGGUUCUGGGCCAAGGCUUGGCUAUGCAGAACACAAGGCUGAGGAGGCCCUGAUCCCUCUUCGAGGCCUACUUGGGGAUAGCACGAUGUCCUGAGAGGUCACCCAGGCUGAACUCUGUAUCUGGCCCCUGACGGCCUCCCAGGUCCUGACCAGCUGGCCCCUGCUACACCCAGUGGCUGCAGAGCACUGUAGUGCUAAGUGUGUACUAAUGCACCAGGAGUCUGACCUAAUAAAG
rnacentral:lncRNA from 1 species